rnacentral:rRNA from 1 species
UACGAAGGGGGCGAGCGUUAUUCGGAAUCACUGGGCGUAAAGCGUGCGUAGGCGGCGAUGAAAGUUAGAAGUGAAAUCCCAGAGCUCAACUCUGGAACUGCCUUUGAAACUGGUGACCUUGAGUACGGGAGAGGUGAGUGGAAUUCCCAGUGUAGAGGUGAAAUGCGUAGAUAUUGGGAAGAACACCGGUGGCGAAGGCGGCUCACUGGCCCGUAACUGACGCUCAGGCGCGAUAGCGUGGGGAUCAAACAGG